AAGACCUUGCACUUUUGGAGCGGCCGAUGUCUGAUUAGCUAGUUGGUGGGGUAAUGGCCUACCAAAGCUUCGAUCAGUAGCUGGUCUGAGAGGACGGCCAGCCACACUGGGACUGAGACACGGCCCAGACUCCUAAGGGAGGCAGCAGUGGGGAAUUUUGGACAAUGGGCGCAAGCCUGAUCCAGCCAUGCCGCGUGAGUGAAGAAGGCCUUCGGGUUGUAAAGCUCUUUCAGCCGGGAAGAAAAGGUUGCGACUAAUAAUCGCAAUCCAUGACGGUACCGAAAGAAGAAGCACCGGCUAACUACGUGCCAGCAGCCGCGGUAAUACGUAGGGUGCGAGCGUUAAUCGGAAUUACUGGGCGUAAAGGGUGCGCAGGCGGUUUUGUAAGUCAGAUGUGAAAUCCCCGGGCUUAACCUGGGAACU
rnacentral:rRNA from 1 species